AACAUAGAAAUUACACUUGGGAAGGGGUUUUGAUUGAUCAAAAAGAAGAAUCUACUUCAACCGAUAUGCCCUUAGCCACGGCCAUACAUAACAUAGAAAUCACACUUGGGAAGGGGGGACAAUUAGCUAGAGCAGCAGGUGCUGUAGCGAAACUGAUUGCAAAAGAGGAAAAAUCGGCCACAUUAAAAUUACCUUCUGGGGAGGUCCGUUUGAUAUCCAAAAAUUACUCAGCAACAGUCAGACAAGUGGGGCUGGGGUAAACCAUAAAAGUUUGGGUAGAGGCGGAUCUAAAUGUUGGCUAGGUAAGCGUCCUGUAAUAAGAGGAGUAGUUAUGAACCCUGUAGACCAUCCCCAUGGCGGUGGUGAAGGGAGGGCCCCAAUUGGUAGAAAAAACCCGUAACCCCUUGGGGCUGCACUUGGAAGAAGAAGUAGAAAAAGGAAUAAAUAUAGUGAGAAUUUGAUUCUUCGUCGCCUAAAUAAGAGAGAAAAUAGAAUUAGAUUCUUCGUCUUGACUUUA